AGCGAACGCUGGCGGCAGGCUUAACACAUGCAAGUCGAACGCAUCCUUCGGGGCGAGUGGCAGACGGGUGAGUAACACGUGGGAAAGUACCUUUUAGUGUGGGAUAACUCAGGGAAACUUGAGCUAAUACCGGAUACGCCCUUAGGGGGAAAGAUUUAUCGCUAAAAGAUCGGCCGGCGUCUGAUUAGCGAGUUGGUGAGGUAAAGGCUAACCAAGGCGACGAUCAGUAGCUGGUCUGAGAGGAUGAUGCCAGCCACACUGGGACUGAGACACGGCCCAGACUCCUACGGGAGGCAGCAGUGGGGAAUAUUGGACAAUGGGCGCAAGCCUGAUCCAGCCAUGCCGCGUGAGUGAUGAAGGCCUUAGGGUUGUAAAGCUCUUUCGGCGGGGACGAUAAUGACGGUACCCGCAGAAGAAGCCCCGGCUAACUUCGUGCCAGCAGCCGCCGUAAGAC
rnacentral:rRNA from 1 species